GAUGAACGCUAGCGGCAGGCUUAAUACAUGCAAGUCGUGGGGCAGCAUGAGUAGCAAUACUUGAUGGCGACCGGCAAACGGGUGAGGAACACGUACACAACCUUCCUUCAAGCGGGGAAUAGCCCAGAGAAAUUUGGAUUAAUACCCCAUAAUAUAUUUGAUAAGGCAUCUUAUUAAUAUUAAAGCUUCGGCACUUGAUGAUGGGUGUGCGGCUGAUUAGAUAGUUGGCGGGGUAACGGCCCACCAAGUCUACGAUCAGUAGCUGAUGUGAGAGCAUGAUCAGCCACGACGGGCACUGAGAC
rnacentral:rRNA from 1 species